ACAGGAAAUAUAUAGCACUGUGUACGAUGUAUGUUACUGUCCUCUUUGAGGCUACAGGAACUAUAAAGCACUGUGUACAGUAUGUUACUGUCCUCUGAGGCUACAGGAAAUAUAAAGCACACUGUCCUACUGUCCUCUGAGGCUACAGGAAAUAUAAAGCACUGUGUACAGUAUGUUACUGUCCUCUGAGGCUACAGGAAAUAUAAAGACACAGUGUCCUACUGUCCUCUGAGGCUACAG
rnacentral:lncRNA from 1 species